GAUGAACGCUAGCUACAGGCUUAACACAUGCAAGUCGAGGGGAAACGGCAUCGAAAGCUUGCUUUUGAUGGGCGUCGACCGGCGCACGGGUGAGUAACGCGUAUCCAACCUGCCCAUCACUUGGGAAUAACCUUGCGAAAGUAAGACUAAUGCCCAAUGACAUCCCACGAAGGCAUCCGAAUGGGAUUAAAGAUUUAUCGGUGAUGGAUGGGGAUGCGUCUGAUUAGCUUGUUGGCGGGGUGACGGCCCACCAAGGCAACGAUCAGUAGGGGUUCUGAGAGGAAGGUCCCCCACAUUGGAACUGCGACACGGUCCAAACUCCUACGGGAGGCAGCAGUGAGGAAUAUUGGUCAAUGGGCGAGAGCCUGAACCAGCCAAGUAGCGUGCAGGAUGACGGCCCUAUGGGUUGUAAACUGCUUUUAUAAGGGAAUAAAGUGGGUCACGUGUGACUUUUUGCAUGUACCUUAUGAAUAAGGACCGGCUAAUUCCGUG
rnacentral:rRNA from 1 species